UACGUAGGGUGCAAGCGUUGUCCGGAAUUAUUGGGCGUAAAGAGCGUGUAGGCGGCCAAACAGGUCAGCUGUGAAAACUCGAGGCUCAACCUCGAGACGUCGGUUGAAACCGUUUGGCUAGAGUCCGGAAGAGGAGAGUGGAAUUCCCGGUGUAGCGGUGAAAUGCGCAGAUAUCGGGAAGAACACCCGUGGCGAAGGCGGCUCUCUGGGACGGUACUGACGCUGAGACGCGAAAGCGUGGGGAGCGAACAGG
rnacentral:rRNA from 1 species